CGCGAUAUGUGGAGAUUGUGAAUAAACGUGAUUGCUGUCGUCGAUAUGAUAGUUAAUGCCAAUGGCAGAUGAAUCAUAUUUUACAUCACUUUCGAAGAAAUGUGUGCAGACGUACGCCAAUUCUUUCCACGCAGAUGUAAUUCGAAUUUUGAUCUUUUUAAAAUCUAUACGACAGGUAUGAAAAUUCACCCCAGAUUGGAAUGAAGAUUAUAAUCUCUACUAUAUUUACAAUUCUAACCAUAGCUAAAGCUAAUUCAGAUUUUCAUCCUAACUUCAGCUCGGUUCGAGCCUUGCUUAAAGCAUAACACAGGCUAAGUAUUUGCCUAGGCUAUUACUCUAAUAAAAUUUUGUUAAGUGAAUCAUACUUUACACCACUUUUGGAGGAAUGUGUGCAGACGUGCGCCAAUUUUUUCCAUGCAAAUGUAAUUCGAAUUUCGAUGUUUUUAAAAUCUAUACGACAGGUAUGAAAAUUCACCCUGGAUCAGAAUGGGGAUUAUAAUCUCUACUAUAUUUGCAAUUCUAACCAUAGCUAAAGCUAAUUUAGAUUUUUAUCCUAACUUUAGCUCGGCUCGAGCCUUGCUUAAAGCAUAACACAGGCUAAGUAUUUGCCUAGGCUAUUACUCUAAUCAAAUUUUGUUACUUAUAGCCAGGGCCGAGCAUAUGUUAAAAAUUUUUAAUUCUCAUAUUUAAAAGUAUGAUUCAUAUUCAUCAAAAGAAGAGAUAUAUCUGUUCCUAUGGAGAUUCUAUUACAAGACUAGGAGCCUCGGAUCACAGAAAAUUAAAAAGAAGAGGGCAUAAAUCAUUCCUCAGGGGGAUCGCCUGUGGGAUAGUAUUCUUCGGUGCUGUCGAUGCUUUCGAUCUGGAUGGUUGUGUUGAUCUUAUCCACCUCAUCCAAAAAGUGGGAUGACAUUAUAAACCUCGACUAAUUAUCCGAUGACACCAUCUAUAAAUUUUUAUCCAAACAAUCGACUUGAAGAUGCUUGAUAAAGUUAGGAAGAAGGUGCACCUCGAUAAUGGACUUGCACUUCUCGAAGCCCACGAAGAAUGCCAUCUUGCAAGCUUGGGCUAUGAUCUUAGCCCCUUCCUUUUUCAACUAUUUUCUUCUGCUUUUAAUGCAUUUGUGCAAAAUUUUUUGAUCUAUAAAUUUGCCCCAGAGAAGCUUAUGAUUUACCUUUCUCUCUUCCAACCACUUCUUCAGGUGUUCCACCUCUGAUCCAAUCUCCUGAACUCCCGAGAGCAGCUCUAAGGAGGCUUGAACUCCCAUGACAGUAGAGCGUCCGUCUCCUCAUGGAGCUCUCUCUCCACGGCUCAUCCCUUCGAAAGUUCUAGCCCUUUUGGAUGGACCACCACUAGGGCUCCUUCGAGAGUGAGUAUCAAGAUAAGGAGAAUCUUUUCUUGUUUCAAGUAUCCUCGUCAAAUGCUCCAGAUCAUCACAGACCCGGUGACAGUCUCUCUCAAUCUCAGAUCUUUAUCUCUCAAGGGUUCUAAUCUACCCUUCGAGAUCUUUAAUCCUCCUAUCGGCCCUAGAUUUCUAUUGUUCGAGGGCCUCAAUCCAUCUUUCGACCUAUCGUAGUUCUUCAUCCCGAUGGAGAAUCGACUCCUGGGCCUCCUGAAGAGCCUCCUCUAUAAAGCUGAGCUCCUUGGCCAACUCGACAUUAUCUUUCUUCAGAUGCUCUAAUCUGUACUUCAGCAAGUCGAUCUCCUCCUUCUCCGUCAUUGGAAUAUCAAGAUUGGAACUGGCAAGGCUCGCCAGACAUUGACCUAUAUGCACUAGAGAUCUUAAAGCGUCAGUAGAUCACUUCUCUCCCCUUUGUUCAUUGAGGAAAAACAUCUCAGCUGGUGGUAGGAGGUUUAUCAAAUACUCCGUCAUGGAUUGGAGACUCUCUUCUAUAGAUGGAGCAUGAGGGGUUGAAUUUGAGGGUCUCGCAUGAGAAGUGGAUGCAAGAAAGCACCCAGUAGGAGUCACCAUCUCCAGAGAUCCUCCAGUCUCUAUCAUCGUUGUCAAAUCCAUCUCCAGAUUGUCGAUCGUCUUCUCCAUCCACACUACCUCAGUCUAAUCUUUUUUGGAGCAUCCCUCUACACUCAUUUUCGGUGCUAUCUCCGUCAGUGCCCCGUCGGCCAGAAUUUUUUUUAGAGAAUCCUGCAUCAUGGCUUCUAAUGAUAGGGCCAUGGCUCAAUAAUAAGAAUGGCAUGUCCUUCUACCCUAAUCAUGGAUCCCAUUUCAGCAACCAAAAUCACGACCUACCUCCUACAAGCUAGAAUUUGCUCAAGUCUCUUCAUGCAUUGUGAAUCCAUCUUGCUCCAAGGAAUCAUGAUGAACAAUCAGCACAAAAAAGAUCUGUGGCUAUCUAUGCCUUUAAAGUAUAAAUUUAAAGGAGAAAAAAAAUAAAAAACCACUGCAAAGUAAUUAAAAAUCCGAAGAGACCAUCGUCUGAGUGGUCCCAUCAGUUACGCCCAUCUGCAUCAAUCGCAUUAGGCUGACAUCACAUGUUUUAAAUGCAUAAGACGGACGUGAAGGUAGAAGUGCAUGGCAUUGGAUUUGAGAAACUUUUGGAGUACUCCUUUCAUCUGAUUCUCAGACUCAGGAGUAAAGAGUAGUGUUACAGUGGUUACCGUGAGUGCCUCGAAUCAGUGCUACAUCAUAAGAUAUUUCAAGUUCUCGGAUCAUCAACACAACCGCUGACUGCCGUAUGAGCUGAAGAGCCCAUCUCCAUGCUGAGCUAAGAUAACUCCGAGGUCUAAUCUAUGUAUGAGCUGCUCAACCGACUUAUCUCUUUAACGUGCACGACAGCUGUCUAUCCCGAAUAGAUAAGAUUUGGUGUAACCAUUUUCUUUGAUCUCACAGGAGCGAUAAAGUGCUGAAUUAUCUCGUUCGAUUUGGCAUGUCCAACGAUCUGACAAUCUCGAGAUUGUGCAAUCUCAUAGCUAACAACUUAGCUGUCCGACAUCUUUCUAUAUAAACAAUUAGAGCCCCGAGGAUCUAGAUAAGUCAAAUCAAAUCUCUCUCAGAGAACUUGUUGUUGCUCUUUUAUUCUCUAUUUUUUUGAUUUGAGCGUCAGAGGGUUAUUGUCGGAGCCACAACCUUCGAUUUGAGACUUAUUUUACAGGUCACUCUAGCACCAGCAUCCCUACACGAGGAUCAGGUGUCUGUCUUUUGAUCUCAACCAAUUUCAGCAGCAAUAAAUAAUAAUCUCAAUUUAUAAUAAUUAACAAAACUUGUACAAUUACAAAUUCAAUAUAUCAUCCUUCAAUUAUCUGAAUGAAUAUCAGUGGCACUUUAUCUAUUCACCCUUUCAUGUAUGAACCCAAACCAUAGCUAAGUAUGAGCAUCCUACAAAUCUGAGAAGAAGAAAAAAUCAAGG
rnacentral:lncRNA from 1 species